UACCAAUUGUUGCCUCGGCGGAUCAGCCCGCUCCCGGUAAAACGGGACGGCCCGCCAGAGGACCCCUAAACUCUGUUUCUAUAUGUAACUUCUGAGUAAAACCAUAAAUAAAUCAAAACUUUCAACAACGGAUCUCUUGGUUCUGGCAUCGAUGAAGAACGCAGCAAAAUGCGAUAAGUAAUGUGAAUUGCAGAAUUCAGUGAAUCAUCGAAUCUUUGAACGCACAUUGCGCCCGCCAGUAUUCUGGCGGGCAUGCCUGUUCGAGCGUCAUUUCAACCCUCAAGCCCUCGGGUUUGGUGUUGGGGAUCGGCGAGCCCUUGCGGCAAGCCGGCCCCGAAAUCUAGUGGCGGUCUCGCUGCAGCUUCCAUUGCGUAGUAGUAAAACCCUCGCAACUGGUACGCGGCGCGGCCAAGCCGUUAAACCCCCAACUUCUGAAUGUUGACCUCGGAUCAGGUAGGAAUACCCGCUGAACUUAAGCAUA
rnacentral:rRNA from 1 species